UACGUAGGGUGCGAGCGUUAAUCGGAAUUACUGGGCGUAAAGCGUGCGCAGGCGGUUUUGUAAGCCAGAUGUGAAAUCCCCGGGCUUAACCUGGGAAUGGCAUUUGGGACUGCAAGGCUUGAGUGCGGGAGAGGAGACUGGAAUUCCUGGUGUAGCAGUGAAAUGCGCAGAUAUCAGGAGGAACACCAAUGGCGAAGGCAGCUCGCUGGGACGGUACUGACGCUGAGACGCGAAAGCGUGGGGAGCAAACAGG
rnacentral:rRNA from 1 species